AUUUUCUUCCACGGCCAUUUACUUCCACUUCAUCUCCUCUCUCAUUUCCCUUCCUCACCUCGCUUUUCCACCAACUCAAACGACAGUUUCACUCUCCCUAUAACAGAAAAUGAAAAGUUUCGAAAAGACACCGGAAGCUGCAACACCAGCAACAGAGAGUUUCACAGCACAAACAACAUCAUCAGAGGAAUCACAAAACAAGAGAUCAAAUCCAGUUCCACCAACACAAAAUCCAAUAGCUUCUCUUUGUUUGGAUUAACAAAAGGAAACCACAAAGGAGAAAAUAAUAAAGAGAAGCCUCAACAGAAUAGUAAUAAUAAGAAGAAAGUUAUUGGUUAUGACAUGAUUCAAGCAUUGAAGAAAUACUUUUUCAGAAAAAGAGAAAAGAAUCGAUUCCAAGGCGAAGCUUAUUCACGUUCAGGGAAUUUAAUGAGGAAGAAUAAGCCACAAGUUAGAGGAAGUAGAGGAGAAUAUUCAGCACCAGCUUCCAUGAGAACUUCACCAACAAAUAGUGGACUAUUGCUAGCAAAAGGUGGUGCUUCUCUUUCUUCUUCAUCUUCUACAAAUGAUAGUACCAUGGAAGAGUUACAUGCUGCAAUUCAAGCUGCAAUUGCUCACUGUAAAAGUUCUAUUGCAAAAGAAGAUAAGAUCAAUUAA